rnacentral:rRNA from 1 species
UAGGGAAUCUUCCGCAAUGGGCGAAAGCCUGACGGAGCAACGCCGCGUGAGUGAUGAAGGUCUUCGGAUCGUAAAACUCUGUUAUGAGGGAAGAACAAAUGUGUAAGUAACUAUGCACGUCUUGACGGUACCUAAUCAGAAAGCCACGGCUAACUACGUGCCAGCAGCCGCGGUAAUACGUAGGUGGCAAGCGUUAUCCGGAAUUAUUGGGCGUAAAGCGCGCGUAGGCGGUUUUUUAAGUCUGAUGUGAAAGCCCACGGCUCAACCGUAGAGGGUCAUUGGAAACUGGAAAACUUGAGUGCAGAAGAGGAAAGUGGAAUUCCAUGUGUAGCGGUGAAAUGCGCAGAGAUAUGGAGGAACACCAGUGGCGAAGGCGACUUUCUGGUCUGUAACUGACGCUGAUGUGCGCAAGCGUGGGGAUCAAACAGG